AGACUUUGAUCCUGGCUCAGAUUGAACGCUGGCGGAAUGCUUUACACAUGCAAGUCGAACGGCAGCACGGGAGCUUGCUCCUGGUGGCGAGUGGCGAACGGGUGAGUAAUGCGUCGGAACGUACCGAGUAAUGGGGGAUAACGCACCGAAAGGUGUGCUAAUACCGCAUACGCCCUGAGGGGGAAAGUGGGGGAUCGCAAGACCUCACGUUAUUCGAGCGGCCGACGUCUGAUUAGCUAGUUGGUGGGGUAAUGGCUCACCAAGGCGACGAUCAGUAGCGGGUCUGAGAGGAUGAUCCGCCACACUGGAACUGAGACACGGUCCAGACUCCUACGGGAGGCAGCAGUGGGGAAUUUUGGACAAUGGGGGCAACCCUGAUCCAGCCAUUCCGCGUGAGUGAAGAAGGCCUUCGGGUUGUAAAGCUCUUUCAGCUGGAACGAAACGGUAUUCACUAAUAUUGGAUGCUAAUGACGGUACCAGCAGAAGAAGCACCGGCUAACUACGUGCCAGCAGCCGCGGUAAUACGUAGGGUGCGAGCGUUAAUCGGAAUUACUGGGCGUAAAGC
rnacentral:rRNA from 1 species